AAAGUGACUUGCCCUUUUGGCUAAGAUCAAGUGUAGUAUCUGUUCUUAUCAGUUUAAUAUCUGAUAUGUCUUCGAGGUGAGGACGCUGUAUUAAGCAUCUUUUUGGAGUAGGGAGGUGGGUUGGGAGCUUGCUCCAUUCCCUCUACUCAUCGGCCUGGUAUUGCAGUGCUUCCAGGAUGGGUAUUUUUUUU